rnacentral:rRNA from 1 species
AACGAACGUUAGCGGCGCGCCUAACACAUGCAAGUCGCACGAGAAAGGGCUUCGGCCCCGGUAAAGUGGCGCACGGGUGAGUAACACGUGGGUAACCUGCCCUCGAGCGGGGGAUAACAUUGCGAAAGGAGUGCUAAUACCGCAUAAGACCACGAUCUCGAAAGAGGACGAGGUCAAAGCUGGCCUCUGUAUACAAGCUAGCACUUGAGGAUGGGCCCGCGGCGCAUCAGGUAGUUGGUGAGGUAACGGCUCACCAAGCCGAAGACGCGUAGCUGGUCUGAGAGGAUGAUCAGCCACACUGGAACUGAGACACGGUCCAGACUCCUACGGGAGGCAGCAGUGGGGAAUCUUGCGCAAUGGGCGAAAGCCUGACGCAGCGACGCCGCGUGAGUGAUGAAGGCCUUCGGGUUGUAAAGCUCUGUGGGGCGAGACGAAUAAGUGCAGCCUAAUACGCUGCAUGAUGACGGUAUCGCCUUAGCAAGCACCGGCUAACUCUGUGCCAGCAGCCGCGGUAACAC